rnacentral:lncRNA from 1 species
GCUUCUAGGCUAGAGUGUUCUCUUUAGGUCAGUGGACUCAAGUGUGAUCCAUCUGUGGCAGAGUCAGUCUGCCGGUCCAGUUCUGUGUCAGUUGGGAGUAGAUGCCUUCCACUCGACUUUGAGGUCCUAGACUUGAUUGUCUGGACGUCAAUCGAGGGAUGGAUUUGGUUUUUCUACUCGUGGUGCUAUCUUGGUCUGCAGAAACAAGGUAGUUAGGUUCAGAGAACAGGAUGGGUCAAAGAUUUUCUUCUGAGGGGACACAGUAGGGAUGCCUAGAGGUUUGAUGUCAGCCUGUAAGGUUCGUAGGGUGCGUAGGAGGGGUUGUCAGAUGGUCCUAGCUCUUGUUUGAGAGUUCAGCAGUCAAGUCGGGGAACCAGCCUCAGUGCCAGUUGUUCGAGAGAGUUCUUAGAUGUCUUCCCAGGCGAGUUGUCAGGUUUACCAUCUGUCAGGGAGUUAGAGUUUGGUAUAGGAGUGGUGUCUGGACGCAGAACCAUUUCUACCCUUCCCUAUAGGAUGGCGCCUGCAUAAAGAGAGG